rnacentral:rRNA from 1 species
UACGGAGGGUGCGAGCGUUGUCCGGAAUCACUGGGCGUAAAGGGCGCGUAGGCGGCAGGCCAAGCGUGCGGUGAAAGUCCGGGGCUCAACCCCGGAUCUGCCGUGCGGACUGGUUUGCUAGAGCACUGUAGAGGCGAGUGGAAUUCCGGGUGUAGCGGUGAAAUGCGUAGAGAUCGGGAGGAACACCAGUGGCGAAGGCGGCCUUCUGGACCAAUACUGACGCUCAUGCACGAAAGCGUGGGGAGCAAACAGG